rnacentral:rRNA from 1 species
UACGUAGGGGGCAAGCGUUGUCCGGAUUUAUUGGGCGUAAAGAGCGUGUAGGCGGUUUGGUAGGUCCGCUGUGAAAACUCGAGGCUCAACCUCGAACUUGCGGUGGGUACGGGCAGACUAGAGUGUGGUAGGGGAGACUGGAAUUCCUGGUGUAGCGGUGAAAUGCGCAGAUAUCAGGAGGAACACCGAUGGCGAAGGCAGGUCUCUGGGCCACUACUGACGCUGAGAAGCGAAAGCAUGGGGAGCGAACAGG